CCAGAAGCGGGGGAGGCAGUGUGACCUGACCGUGCCUUCUUGCUCUUCAAGUGGAUCUCUGCAUGGGACCAGCUCUGCAGCCCAGAUGCUCUGACGCUGCAGCUCGUCCUUCCAGGCUCUUCCAGAUGCAUUGACCGCAGAGGGAGGCUUAGGGCCUGACCUCCCCACCUUCAUCCUGUUUCUGAGCACCACUUCCACAGAUCCUCGCUGAACUUUCUGCUUCGUGGCUGCCAUGGUUUCAGCACCGUUCCUCUGUGAUGUCCCUCAGUCGUGUGUUUCUGCCUUGGAGCCAGCCGACAAUGAGCCAAGACUGAGCCAACCAAGACUGCUCCUUUAAAUUAAAAGCUUAGGAUUGACAAAGACACAGGAGAAACAUCAAGCUCAGAUUUUGAAGAGACAGCAGAGCCCUAACGGCUCAGAAUGCAUUUGACUACAAAACCCAAAUAACCAUGGUUUAAACCAGCAGUGCCAUGUUCUUCUGGUACAGCAAGAAGCCCACAGCCUGGGCACCUGAACUUCAGCAAGCCACACAGGGAGCCAGGAGGCAGGCAGGCUUGUUAUCUCAAAGCACAGUGGCAUUUCGAAGCUGUGUCCCAAGAGAGAAGACAGGAAACUGGAAUGAGUGUGGUCCUUAUCAGGGAGGCCAACGGUCUCUGAGAAACCCAAGCUCUGCUUGGCCUCUCUGUACCAGCCGGGCCUCACACGAUCAGAAGAGCAGGACAUGGAGGUGCCAUCACGCUAAGGCUCUUCAGUAAAGUAAACCAGGUCCGCUCUCAGGGCACGGAGGAUGGCGGCUUUGGGUAAACCACAGACACGGAGACGGAAGUUGGAGAACCCAAGGACAAACUGAAGCCUCAGCAUCCCACCCAGUUCUCCAGGUGUCCACAGUCCCCCCAGCUGUUCAAGCACAGAGAGCAACGUGACCAGCUGUCCCUCGCAGAACGGUCUCCUUUCCAUGGUGUUCGCUCGGCGCUGUGUUCUUGAGUUUUUAAGAGUUGCCAAUGCUAAUAGUACGGCAUGUAAAGAACAUUUUCUGCUUCUCUUGAAAACUCCCAACAGCUGCCCCCACGGCAGCAACCAGCAGGAAGGGAAGCCCCGAGCCGACGCUGGGAGAGGGAUGUGUGGUCCACAGAUGCCGCCAGCCCCGGUCUCUCCAAUCCCGCUGCUACAUGAGGCGUGGUCCUCGUUCCUAACCGACUUUGGCUGUGUGGCCUCUCCUCAACACUCUAUCCACCAACUGUGCUACAGGUACUCGAGUACAUCCUGAAACAGCAGAGGUGGACAGACCACCAUCUCAACAACCACGGUCAAACAACCCAGAGUCGAUCACAGGCAAAGCAUCACCGAGGGCUGGUUCCCGUCCGGUCAUACACAAGGCACAAAGAAAUGUCCACAGAGCCCACCAAAAAAUAUAUACAGACUUCAGGGAAAGAACAAUAGUAUGAGGGUUUUCUCCCCAGAUGGUGUUACCCUCGUGUGGGGGACCCUAGAGGGUGUCGUCUAUAAUGGCCGAAAACUGACCAUUGUCGGCCCUUGGAGAAUAGACUGAAAAUGCAUGUGCAGCAAUCCCAAUGACCAAGGCCACCCGAGCAGCAGUUCGCCGGUGGAAGCUCCUGGCCACCACUCUGAGCACCUCGGGUCCUU